UCCGGCUUAUCACCGGCAGUUUCCUCAGAGUUCUCAGCAUUACCUGUUAGCAACAGAGGACGAGGGUUGCGCUCGUUGCGGGACUUAACCCAACAUCUCACGACACGAGCUGACGACAGCCAUGCAGCACCUGUGCUCCUCCCACCCGAGGUGAAGGAAUCCAUUUCUGGAAACCACAGAGGGCAUGUCAAAGCCUGGUAAGGUUCUUCGCGUUGCCUCGAAUUAAACCACAUGUUCCACCGCUUGUGCGGGUCCCCGUCAAUUCCUUUGAGUUUUAAUCUUGCGACCGUACUCCCCAGGCGGGAUGCUUAGCGCGUUAGCUACGCCACCGAAGGGUAACCCCCCGACGGCUAGCAUCCAUCGUUUACAGCGUGGACUAC
rnacentral:misc_RNA from 1 species